AUUUGUUAUCUCAUUGCCCCGCCUCCACCGUCAUCAAAUAUCAAAGCUCCGACAGCCCUAAUUCUCUUCUCUUCUUUCCUGAUUCUCUGAAAAACAUGGUAAAAACAAUACUAUGACAAACAAAGAGAAAGCAGAAGGUUAGCUAUUUUUUAUCGAUCUCAGGUUAAAUCUCUGCAACUAGGGGAGGAGGAAGGUUGCUUAAUAGUUCAACUUUUUAUUCUGAGUUAGUAGGGAACGACUACCAGGACCUAAAGACAGAAGGAGGGCAAGAAGACGUCAUGUUGAUAAAACUAUCCGAGAAAAGAAAAGAAAAGAAAAGAAAAAAAAGUGGAGAUGAAGUCCGGGUUGCAAGUAUUGUAUUGAAAACAAAGAUGGUUGUUUGCAAAUAACUUACAGAAAGUGUGCGAGUGCGAACUUUGACAUGAUGUUCGUCAUGUUUUGCUUGCUUGCAGAUGAUCAUCAGAGGACACCAACUUUGUAAGCAACACAUAUAAAAACCUUUAAAAUUAUUAAUGAUUAUGAGGUACCUGGACUUGGUAAGCACUCUCUGCACACAUCAAACCAUUUCCGCUCUUAUAUAUGUACAUUUUCAUUAAUGAAAAGGUGCUCUGCUUUGUCUCAUUUUAAAGUUCUGUAGUUUGGUAUGGAUUACUGUAUAUCUGGGAAUAAUUGGAAUGUUAUGUAGCUCAUUUUAAAGUUCAAUAGUCAUAGUUAUAAAUUUCACUGUUCCAAUGCAGUUGUUGGCUAUUAGAUAUACGUACUGAAGACAGAUCUUAAACUUUUAUGGUUGCUUCAAUGAAGAACAUGAAUUAAGAUUCCUCUUAGAAUUACAUUCUUUCAUCCAAAAGUAAGUUGGAUAGCCAUAAUGUUAAUACAUAUCUUUUGUUUUCACUUUAAUCUAAAGCAUUCGAAGUUUAAUGCAAUGAAGUUUUGAUUA